CGGUCAAUUUUUGAUAUGAUAUUCAAAAAUUGUUAAGAGAGAUAAAGCUAGCGCGCGAUCUGCGCAUGCCUGCAGUUUCGGACUUACUCUUUCGCUCGGGCCACUCGGCAC